rnacentral:rRNA from 1 species
GUGGGGAAUUUUGGACAAUGGGCGAAAGCCUGAUCCAGCCAUGCCGCGUGCAGGAUGAAGGCCUUCGGGUUGUAAACUGCUUUUGUACGGAACGAAAAGACUCCUUCUAAUAAAGGGGGUCCAUGACGGUACCGUAAGAAUAAGCACCGGCUAACUACGUGCCAGCAGCCGCGGUAAUACGUAGGGUGCAAGCGUUAAUCGGAAUUACUGGGCGUAAAGCGUGCGCAGGCGGUUAUAUAAGACAGAUGUGAAAUCCCCGGGCUCAACCUGGGAACUGCAUUUGUGACUGCAAGGCUGGAGUGCGGCAGAGGGGGAUGGAAUUCCGCGUGUAGCAGUGAAUGCGUAGAUAUGCGGAGGAACACCGAUGGCGAAGGCAAUCCCCUGGACCUAUACUGACGCUCAUGCACGAAAGUGUGGGGAGCAAACAGGAUUAGAAACCCUAGUAGUCC